UACGUAGGGUGCGAGCGUUGUCCGGAAUUAUUGGGCGUAAAGGGCGCGCAGGCGGUCACGCACGUCCGUUGUGAAAUCGCUCGGCUCAACUGGGCGGGGUCAGCGGAUACGGCGCGACUGGAGCAAGCUAGGGGGCAAUGGAAUUCCCGGUGUAGUGGUGGAAUGCGUAGAUAUCAGGAGGAACACCAAUAGCGAAGGCAGCUCGCUGGGACGUUACUGACACUGAGGCGCGAAAGCGUGGGGAGCGAACAGG
rnacentral:rRNA from 1 species